rnacentral:rRNA from 1 species
ACGCUCGACACCUACGAGACAGCAGUGGGGAAUAUUGCACAAUGGGGGAAACCCUGAUGCAGCGAUGCCGCGUGAAGGAAGAAGUAUCUCGGUAUGUAAACUUCUAUCAGCAGGGAAGAAAAUGACGGUACCUGACUAAGAAGCCCCGGCUAACUACGUACCACGCAGCCGCGGUAAUCUGAGCGGGCUGGCAAGGC